UACGAAGGUCCCAAGCGUUAUCCGGAUUUAUUGGGUUUAAAGGGUGCGUAGGCGGGUUAUUAAGUCAGUGGUGAAAGCCUUCAGCUUAACUGAAGAACUGCCAUUGAUACUGAUGAUCUUGAGUAUGAUUGAGGUGGGCGGAAUGUGUCAUGUAGCGGUGAAAAUGCUUUAGAUAUGACACAGAACACCGAUUGCGAAGGCAGCUCACUAAGCCAUAACUGACGCUGAUGCACGAAAAGCGUGGGGGAGCAAACAGG
rnacentral:rRNA from 1 species